rnacentral:rRNA from 1 species
GACGAACGCUGGCGGCGUGCUUAACACAUGCAAGUCGAACGGAAAGGCCCUGCGUUUUUGGGGUUCUCGAGGGGCGAACGGGUGAGUAACACGUGAGUAACCGGCCCUUGACUUUGGUAUAACUUCAGGAAACUGGGGCUAAGACCGUAUAGGAGCUCCUGCUGCAUGGUGGGGGGUGGAAAGUUUAGGCGGGUGGGGAUGGACUGGCGGCUGAUCAGCUUGUUGGUGGGGUAGGGGCUUACCAAGGCUUUGGCGGGUAGCCGGCCGGUGAGGGUGACUGGCCACCAUGGGACUACGGUACGGACCAGACUCCUACGGGAGGCAGCAGUGGGGAAUCUUGCACAAUGGGACGAAGCCUGAUGAAGCAACGCCGCGUGCGGGAUGCCGGCCUUCGGGUUGUAAACCGCUUUAGCCUGUGACGACGCGUGAGUGACGGUAAUGGGUAAAGAAGCACCGGCUAACUACGUG